rnacentral:lncRNA from 10 species
UAAACUCUUUAUGUUAACUUUUUUAAUCUUCACAAACACAUUUUGAAGUAGGUACUGUUCAUAACCCCAUUUUACAAAGAAAAAACUGAAUUUUAGGGAGUUUAAUUGCUGAACCAAGGCCACAGAAUUGGUGAGUUGCAGGUAAAAUUUGAACCCAUUUCUGCAGAUGUCAAGUUGUGUUUUUUUGUCUUUCCAUCAUGCUACUGACACCCAAACCAAAUGAAACUGGCAGCCCGGAUUCUUUCAGAGAGAUGUUGUAAAAGAGUUCCCCCAGCAACCUCACCUGUUAAACCCCCAAAUUAAGUCUGAAGAGCAAAGCAGGAGUCUGACUGCUCUUCAAAGGGAGAGAUGUCAGGAAGCAUGAUGUAGUGAAGCCUCUCUCUGCUAGGUGCUAGAAGUGUACUCCUAGACCUGUCAGCGGCCCUCUUUGGUAUUCAGGAUCUUCAUAUUGGGGGAGGGGUCCCCUUAUUUAUUUAAUCAUCACUCCCCAAGGCUAAACUGGUGGCCUGGCAACAGUGAGUAUUUUCUCUGAGCUCAGAAGCCAACUCCAAGUGUUCAGGGUGAACAGGUUGGGAAACUUGAGAACCACACAGACAUCAGGAAAAAUUCCGUGAGUGGUUGUCUGUGGUGAAAUGAUGAUAUGGCCCUGAGUUUGCUCUCCCCAGGAGAACUUGGAAGCUGCCCCCUUUUCCACCUCCCACCUCACUUGGAACUAAGUAAACCAAGAAAUUCUAGGAAGCAGCCCAACCUGAAAGAGCUGGCUUCUCCAGGAAAAGAGAGGGGAGGGUGAAGAGACCCAGGGUCUGUCCGUCCCAAGGGGAUGGUCAGUCACAGAAGUCACUGACCAGCACUCCAGGCCAGAUCUCACUGGUCCGGCCACAGAUUUUUCUAAUCCUGUGAGUUGAACUGCACCCAAAUGACUGCAGAUGGGAUCAGAGAUGGAGGUCUCACCAGUCAGAGGAAAAGCAUCCAAGUAUCAGGAGAGAUGCAUAGUUCUAAGAGGAGCCAUCUAAAAGCAGGCAGAGUUUGAAAGAAACUUCCAAUUAAAAAAAAAAAAUGCC